rnacentral:rRNA from 1 species
AUUGAACGCUGGCGGCAGGCCUAACACAUGCAAGUCGAACGAGUGGCGGACGGGUGAGUAAUGUCUGGGAAACUGCCUGAUGGAGGGGGAUAACUAAUGGAAACGGUAGCUAAUACCGCAUACCAUCAGAUGUGCCCAGAUGGGAGUAGCUAGUUGGUGGGGUAACGGCUCACCAAGGCGACGAGCCCUAGCUGGUCUGAGGGGAUGACCAGCCACACGUGAACUGAGACACGGGCCAGACUCCGAGGGGAGGAAGCAGUGGGGAAUAUGGCAAAAUGGGCGCAAGCCUGAUGCAGCCAUGCCGCGUGGAUGAAGAAGGCCUUCGGGUUGUAAAGUACUUUCAGCGGGGAGGCGUUACCCGCAGAAGAAGCACCGGCUAACUCCGUGCCAGCAGCCGCGGUAAUUC